GGGGGGUCAGGAGUGACCAGUGGUCACCUUGGGAUGGACAGGGGUGGUCAAAGGUCAAUUUGAGGUGACCAGGAGUGACCAGUGGUCACUUUGGGGUGGUCAGGAGUGACCAGUGGUCACUUUGAGAUGGUCAUGAGUGACCAGUGGUCACUUUGGGGUGGUCAAGGGUGGCAUGGGAUAGUCAGUGGCCACUUUGGGAUGGACAGUGGUCACUUUGAGGUGGCCAGGAGUGACCAGUGGUCACCUUGGGAUGGACAGGGGUGGUCAAGGGUCAGUUUGGGAUGGACAGGAGUGACCAGUGGUCACUUUGAGGUGGCCUUGGGGUGGUCAAGGGUGGCCUGGGGGUGACCAGUGGUCACUUUGGGGUGGUCAAGGUGGCCAAGAGUGACCAUUGGUCAUUUUGGGGUGGCCUGGGGGUGGUCAGGAGUGACCAGUGGUCACUUUGGGGGGUCAGGAAUGACCAGUGGUCACUUUGGGGUGGCCUUGGGGUGGUCAAGGGUGGCCUGGGGGUGACCAGUGGUCACUUUGGGGGCUCAGGAGUGACCAGU